rnacentral:sRNA from 2 species
GUUUGCACUUGUCGGGGAAGGGUGAGAACCUUCGAUUAAGGUUCGACUUGAGCGAAAGCGAGAGAACGUUGCCAACGGCAACGGCCCG